rnacentral:rRNA from 1 species
AGUGGCGGACGGGUGAGUAACACGUAGGUAACCUGCCCCGGAGCGGGGGAUAACAUUUGGAAACAGAUGCUAAUACCGCAUAACAACAAAAGCCACAUGGCUUUUGUUUGAAAGAUGGCUUUGGCUAUCACUCUGGGAUGGACCUGCGGUGCAUUAGCUAGUUGGUAAGGUAACGGCUUACCAAGGCGAUGAUGCAUAGCCGAGUUGAGAGACUGAUCGGCCACAAUGGAACUGAGACACGGUCCAUACUCCUACGGGAGGCAGCAGUAGGGAAUCUUCCACAAUGGGCGCAAGCCUGAUGGAGCAACACCGCGUGAGUGAAGAAGGGUUUCGACUCGUAAAGCUCUGUUGUUGGAGAAGAACGUGCGUGAGAGUAACUGUUCACGCAGUGACGGUAUCCAACCAGAAAGUCACGGCUAACUACGUGCCAGCAGCCGCGGUAAUACGUAGGUGGCAAGCGUUAUCCGGAUUUAUUGGGCGUGAAGCGAGCGCAGGCGGUUGCUUAGGUCUGAUGUGAAAGCCUUCGGCUUAACCGAAGAAGUGCAUCGGAAACCGGGCGGCUUGAGUGCAGAAGAGGACAGUGGAACUCCAUGUGUAGCGGUGGAAUGCGUAGAUAUAUGGAAGAACACCAGUGGCGAAGGCGGCUGUCUGGUCUGCAACUGACGCUGAGGCUCGAAAGCAUGGGUAGCGAACAGGAUUAGAUACCCUGGUAGUCCAUGCCGUAAACGAUGAGUGCUAGGUGU